GAGUUUGAUCCUGGCUCAGGACGAACGCUGGCGGCGCGCCUAACACAUGCAAGUCGAACGAGCGAGAGAGAGCUUGCUUUCUCGAGCGAGUGGCGAACGGGUGGGUAACGCGUGAGGAACCUGCCUCAAAGCGGGGGACAACAGUUGGAAACGACUGCUAAUACCGCAUAAGCCCACGGUGCCGCAUGGCACAGGGGGAAAAGGAGCAAUCCGCUUUGAGAUGGCCUCGCGUCCGAUUAGCUAGUUGGUGAGGUAACGGCCCACCAAGGCGACGAUCGGUAGCCGGACUGAGAGGUUGAACGGCCACAUUGGGACUGAGACACGGCCCAGACUCCUACGGGAGGCAGCAGUGGGGAAUAUUGCACAAUGGGGGAAACCCUGAUGCAGCGACGCCGCGUGGAGGAAGAAGGUCUUCGGAUUGUAAACUCCUGUUGUUGAGGAAGAUAAUGACGGUACUCAACAAGGAAGUGACGGCUAACUACGUGCCAGCAGCCGCGGUAAAACGUAGGUCACAAGCGUUGUCCGGAAUUACUGGGUGUAAAGGGAGCGCAGGCGGGAAGACAAGUUGGAAGUGAAAUCUAUGGGCUCAACCCAUAAACUGCUUUCAAAACUGUUUUUCUUGAGUAGUGCAGAGGUAGGCGGAAUUCCCGGUGUAGCGGUGGAAUGCGUAGAUAUCGGGAGGAACACAGUGGCGAAGGCGGCUUACUGGGCACCAACUGACGCUGAGGCUCGAAAGUGUGGGUAGCAAACAGGAUUAGAUACCCUGGUAGUCCACACCGUAAACGAUGAUUACUAGGUGUUGGAGGAUUGACCCCUUCAGUGCCGCAGUUAACACAAUAAGUAAUCCACCUGGGGAGUACGACCGCAAGGUUGAAACUCAAAGGAAUUGACGGGGGCCCGCACAAGCAGUGGAGUAUGUGGUUUAAUUCGACGCAACGCGAAGAGCCUUACCAAGUCUUGACAUCCUCUGACGAACGUAGAAAUACGUUUUCUCUUCGGAGCAGAGAGACAGGUGGUGCAUGGUUGUCGUCAGCUCGUGUCGUGAGAUGUUGGGUUAAGUCCCGCAACGAGCGCAACCCUUAUGGUCAGUUACUACGCAAGAGGACUCUGGCCAGACUGCCGUUGACAAAACGGAGGAAGGUGGGGAUGACGUCAAAUCAUCAUGCCCUUUAUGACUUGGGCCACACACGUACUACAAUGGCGUUAAACAAAGAGAAGCAAGACCGCGAGGUGGAGCAAAACUCAGACACCACGUCCCAGUUCGGACUGCAGGCUGCAACUCGCCUGCACGAAGUCGGAAUUGCUAGUAAUCGCAGAUCAGCAUGCUGCGGUGAAUACGUUCCCGGGCCUUGUACACACCGCCCGUC
rnacentral:rRNA from 1 species